rnacentral:miRNA from 1 species
UCUGUGCUCGGUCUCGCUCCAG